UACGUAGGGCGCGAGCGUUGUCCGGAAUUAUUGGGCGUAAAGAGCGUGUAGGCGGCCAUGCAGGUCAGCUGUGAAAACUCGAGGCUCAACCUCGAGACGUCGGUUGAAACCGCAUGGCUAGAGUCCGGAAGAGGAGAGUGGAAUUCCCGGUGUAGCGGUGAAAUGCGCAGAUAUCGGGAAGAACACCUAUGGCGAAGGCAGCUCUCUGGGACGGUACUGACGCUGAGACGCGAAAGCGUGGGGAGCAAACAGG
rnacentral:rRNA from 1 species